CGCAGGCUCCGUGCUGGUGCAUCGAACUGUUGGCUCCCCAUCCGCUUCAUUCUUUCCCCAAGUGAAGCUUCUUCCUUGCGGGUGCGUAUGGUAUCCUGUGUUGCUUACCCAUGAAAUGGUAUUCGAUGGCUUUGUUGUGUCGAUCUGCCUUGUGCCCUUUGGGGUGCGAGGUAGACUUGAGGYGGGCUUUGUGUUCCCGAUGUAUCGAGCGUAAUGUUGCUUGGUCGUYGUGGCCCAUGGAGUYUUAGCUUGUUAUCUUGGAUGCGGAAUACUAUGCGUGGGCGUGAGGUCUUGACCUCGAGUCGUCCAAGCACUGUCCCUUGACUCGAAUGACUGCCUGCGCCUUUUUUGAUCUUCCCGACCAUGGCCUCGUAAUGGGGCUUACUGGAUGAGGGUUGCUCAUGGGGGCGUCGGCAUCAAAGAGGAAUGC
rnacentral:misc_RNA from 1 species